UAGGGAAUCUUCCGCAAUGGACGAAAGUCUGACGGAGCAACGCCGCGUGAACGAAGAAGGCCUUCGGGUCGUAAAGUUCUGUUGUUAGGGAAGAACAAGUACCAGAGUAACUGCUGGUACCUUGACGGUACCUAACCAGAAAGCCACGGCUAACUACGUGCCAGCAGCCGCGGUAAUACGUAGGUGGCAAGCGUUGUCCGGAAUUAUUGGGCGUAAAGCGCGCGCAGGUGGUUCCUUAAGUCUGAUGUGAAAGCCCACGGCUCAACCGUGGAGGGUCAUUGGAAACUGGGGAACUUGAGUACAGAAGAGGAAAGUGGAAUUCCAAGUGUAGCGGUGAAAUGCGUAGAGAUUUGGAGGAACACCAGUGGCGAAGGCGACUUUCUGGUCUGUAACUGACACUGAGGCGCGAAAGCGUGGGGAGCAAACA
rnacentral:rRNA from 1 species